rnacentral:rRNA from 1 species
GAUCCUGGCUCAGGACGAACGCUGGCGGCGUGCCUAACACAUGCAAGUCGAACGAGAAUCAUAUGACGGAGAUUUCGGUCAACGGAUUAUGAGGACAGUGGCGGACGGGUGAGUAAUGCGUGAGCAACCUGCCCUUCAGAGGGGGACAACAGUUGGAAACGACUGCUAAUACCGCAUAAUGUAUCCGGGAGGCAUCUCUUGGAUACCAAAGAUUUUAUCGCUGAAGGAUGGGCU